CCUACGGGAGGCAGCAGUGGGGAAUAUUGCACAAUGGGGGGAACCCUGAUGCAGCGACGCCGCGUGAGUGAAGAAGUAUUUCGGUAUGUAAAGCUCUAUCAGCAGGGAAGAAAAUGACGGUACCUGACUAAGAAGCCCCGGCUAACUACGUGCCAGCAGCCGAGGUAAUACGUAGGGGGCAAGCGUUAUCCGGAUUUACUGGGUGUAAAGGGAGCGUAGACGGUUAUGCAAGUCUGAAGUGAAAGCCCAAGGCUCAACCAGGGGACUGCUUUGGGAACUGUAGAGCUGGAGUGCGGGAGAGGUAGGCGGAAGUCGGGGGGUAGCGGUGAAAUGCGUAGAUAUGAGGAGGAAC
rnacentral:rRNA from 1 species